ACAUGCAAGUCGAACGAAUAGCAAUACUUAGUGGCAGACGGGUGAGUAACAUGUAGGUAUCUACCCUUUGGCCUGGAAUAACACGAGGAAACUUGUGCUAAUACUGGAUAAGUCUUUACGGAGAAAGCUUUAUGCACCAUUGGAUGAGCCUGCACUUGAUUAGUUUGUUGGUGGGGUAAUGGCCUACCAAGACUGUGAUCAAUAGCUGAUUUGAGAGGAUGAUCAGCCACAUUGGGACUGAGACACGGCCCAAACUCCUACGGGAGGCAGCAGUGGGGAAUCUUGCACAAUGGAGGAAACUCUGAUGCAGCGAUGCCGCGUGAGUGAAGAAGGCCCUUGGGUUGUAAAGCUCUUUCGUCGGGGAAGAAAAUGACUGUACCCGAAUAAGA
rnacentral:rRNA from 1 species